rnacentral:miRNA from 1 species
UAACCUGUUGAACAACUGAACCC